GACGAACGCUGGCGGCGUGCCUAAUACAUGCAAGUCGAGCGAAUGGAUGGGAGCUUGCUCCCUGAAGUUAGCGGCGGACGGGUGAGUAACACGUGGGCAACCUGCCCGUAAGACUGGGAUAACUUCGGGAAACCGGAGCUAAUACCGGAUACAUUCUUUCUUCGCCUGAAGAAAGAUGGAAAGAUGGUUUCGGCUAUCACUUACAGAUGGGCCCGCGGCGCAUUAGCUAGUUGGUGAGGUAACGGCUCACCAAGGCAACGAUGCGUAGCCGACCUGAGAGGGUGAUCGGCCACACUGGGACGGAGACACGGCCCAGACUCCUACGGGAGGCAGCAGUAGGGAAUCAUCCGCAAUGGACGAAAGUCUGACGGAGCAACGCCGCGUGAGCGAAGAAGGCCUUCGGGUCGUAAAGCUCUGUUGUUAGGGAAGAACAAGUACCAGAGUAACUGCUGGUACCUUGACGGUACCUAACCAGAAAGCCACGGCUAACUACGUGCCAGCAGCCGCCGUAAUAC
rnacentral:rRNA from 1 species